rnacentral:sRNA from 1 species
CAUUACCGAGUUUACAACUCCCAAACCCAAUGUGAACGUUACCAAACUGUUGCCUCGGCGGGAUCUCUGCCCCGGGUGCGUCGCAGCCCCGGACCAAGGCGCCCGCCGGAGGACCAACCAAAACUCUUAUUGUAUACCCCCUCGCGGGUUUUUUACUAUCUGAGCCAUCUCGGCGCCCCUCGUGGGCGUUUCGAAAAUGAAUCAAAACUUUCAACAACGGAUCUCUUGGUUCUGGCAUCGAUGAAGAACGCAGCGAAAUGCGAUAAGUAAUGUGAAUUGCAGAAUUCAGUGAAUCAUCGAAUCUUUGAACGCACAUUGCGCCCGCCAGUAUUCUGGCGGGCAUGCCUGUCCGAGCGUCAUUUCAACCCUCGAACCCCUCCGGGGGGUCGGCGUUGGGGAUCGGCCCUUUACGGGGCCGGCCCCGAAAUACAGUGGCGGUCUCGCCGCAGCCUCUCCUGCGCAGUAGUUUGCACACUCGCAUCGGGAGCGCGGCGCGUCCACAGCCGUUAAACACCCCAAACUUCUGAAAUGUUGACCUCGGAUCAGGUA